GACCCGCAUUUAUAGCAGCAGCUGCCUACUGUUGUUUUAACAUAAUCUGGACACACGUGUGUUUAGUGGAUAUGCAAGCUUUAAAAGGGUGCAAUAAAGUACCAACCUAAUGCGAUUCGAUGUUUGAAAUGUAAAGUAUACCUAUGGCGACGGCAGAAACAUGAUCCGAGCAAGAGGACACUGCACCUAAUAGAGAAGA